rnacentral:rRNA from 1 species
CGAAGGUGGCAAGCGUUGUUCGGAUUUACUGGGCGUACAGGGAGCGUAGGCGGUUGGAUAAGCCCUCCGUGAAAUCUCCAGGCUUAACCUGGAAAGUGCAGAGGGGACUGUUCAGCUAGAGGAUGGGAGAGGAGCGCGGGAUUCCCGGUGUAGCGGUGAAAUGCGUAGAGAUCGGGAGGAAGGCCGGUGGCGAAGGCGGCGCUCUGGAACAUUUCUGACGCUGAGGCUCGAAAGCGUGGGGAGCAAACAGGAUUAGAUACCCUGGUAGUCCACGCCUUAAACGAUGGAUACUAAGUGUCGGCGGGUUACCGCCGGUGCCGCAGCUAACGCAGUAAGUAUCCCGCCUGGGAAGUACGGCCGCAAGGUUG